rnacentral:rRNA from 1 species
AGAGUUGAUUAUGGCUCAGGAUGAACGCUAGCUACAGGCUUAACACAUGCAAGUCGAGGGGCAUCAUGGAGUUGCUUGCAAACUCUGAUGGCGACCGGCGCACGGGUGAGUAACGCGUAUCCAACCUUCCCUAUAGUAGAGGAUAGCCCGGCGAAAGUCGGAUUAAUACUCUAUGUUUUCCGUUGCAGACAUCUAAGAUGGAACAAAGGCUUGCCGCUAUAGGAUGGGGGAUGCGUCUGAUUAGGUAGUCGGCGGGGUAACGGCCCACCGAGCCAUCGAUCAGUAGGGGUUCUGAGAGGAAGGUCCCCCACAUUGGAACUGAGACACGGUCCAAACUCCUACGGGAGGCAGCAGUGAGGAAUAUUGGUCAAUGGGCGAGAGCCUGAACCAGCCAAGUAGCCGUGCAGGACGACGGCCCUAUGGGUUGUAAACUGCUUUUAUGCGGGGAUAAAGUUCACUACGUGUAGUGUUUUGUAGGUACCGCAUGAAUAAGGACCGGCUAAUUCCGUGCCAGCCGCGGC